GUUGGUGAACCAGCGGAGGGAUCAUUACCGAGUUAUACAACUCCCAAACCCCUGUGAACUUACCUAUAACGUUGCUUCGGCGGGAAACCGACGGCCCCGUAAGACGGGCCGCCCCCGCCAGAGGACCCCCUAACUCUUGUUAUAUCCUGUUUCUCUGAGUACAACAAGCAAAUAAAUUAAAACUUUCAACAACGGAUCUCUUGGCUCUGGCAUCGAUGAAGAACGCAGCGAAACGCGAUAAGUAAUGUGAAUUGCAGAAUUUAGUGAAUCAUCGAAUCUUUGAACGCACAUUGCGCCCGCCAGUAUUCUGGCGGGCAUGCCUGUCCGAGCGUCAUUACAACCCUCAGGCCCCCGGGCCUGGUGUUGGGGAUCGGCGGAGCCCUCCGGGGCACACGCCGUCCCCCAAAUUCAGUGGCGGUCUCGCUGCAGCCUCCAUUGCGUAGUAGCUAACACCUCGCAACUGGAAGGCGGCGCGGCCACGCCGUAAAACCCCCCAACUUCUGAAUGUUGACCUCGGAUCAGGUAGGAAUACCCGCUGAAC
rnacentral:rRNA from 1 species